UAGUAGUUCAAAGGCAGUUGGAGGAAGUGA
rnacentral:piRNA from 1 species